AGAGGAGAGACUGAGACAGGACAGGGAAGAAGCCGAAAGACAGGAAAGGAUAGAGAAGAAGAGGAGGAGGGAGAGAGGAGAGAGGAGGGAGCAGGAGAGACUGGACCAAGAAGGAAAGGAUGACAUGGCUGGAAGACAGGUGAACACUGAAGGAGAGAAGGAAGAGAAACAGAGAAGUGAUCCACCCCUUAAAAAUAAAGGUUUCCUUUCAAACCUGAAAGUGCGCAUCAUGGAACACCAGAGGGACCAGAUCCUCAAAGCCAUCUCCAAGACCACCAAGAAGGAGGCCAAUGUGUUUCUUUCAGAUGAUACUCCUGAACUGAAGGAGAUCAGAACCUUGAGGCAACAAGGAACGAGGAAUAAGCUGCUAAUGAAACUGCAAGCUUUGGAGGAAAGGAUCAAACAAAAGAAGGAAAAGGGACUUAAGAAGGAAACUGGAGAGGAAGGAGACAGGAAAGAGAAAAAGGGAAGGUUUUCCGAAAUAGCUCAACUGUUUUCUAGGUAAAGGGAUUUGAAUGGUUUGAAAACGACUUAUAUAACAUAACUUAUAAUGAAAAAUCUGAGGAGGCUUGAAGAAAGAGAGAGACUGAAAGUAUGGAGAGACCAAUACAGGAGCAGGGAGAGAGAGAGAGAGACAGGCAGGUAAGUAUGGAGGAGAUGAGGUUUGAAGACGACUUGUAUAACACAACUUAGAAUGAAAAGUCUGAGGAGGCUUGAAGAAAGAGAGACUGAAAGUAUGGAGAGACUGAGACAGGAGCUGGGAUAGAGAGAGAGAGAAACAGGUAAGUAUGGAGGAGAUGAGGUUUGAAGACGACUUGUAUAACACAACUUUGAAUGAAAAAUCUGAGGAGGCUUGAAGAAAGAGAGACUGAAAGUAUGGAGAGACUGAGACAGGAGCUGGGAGAGAGAGAGAGAGAGAGAGAAACAGGUAAGUAUGGAGGAGAUGAGGUUUGAAGACGACUUGUAUAACACAACUUAUAAUGAAAAAUCUGAGGAGGCUUGAAGAAAGAGAGACUGAAAGUAUGGAGAGACCAAUACAGGAGCAGGGAGAGAGAGACAGGCAGGUAAGUAUGGAGAAGAUGAGCAGAGGGAGGAAGAGAAGAUUGAGUAAAGAGCAUGAGGAGAGACUGCAACAGGACGAGGAAGAGGAGAGGAGACUAAGACUGAAGGAGAGACCCCUUCAAAAUAAAGGUUUAAAGACGACUUGUAUAACAACUUAAAAUGAAAAAUCUGAGGAGGUUUGAAGAAAGAGAGACUGAUGGUAUGGAGAGACUGAGACAGGAGCUGGGAGAGAGAGAGAAACACGGAAGUAUGUGGAAUAUGAGCAUAAGGAGAGACUGAGACAGGAAAGGAGAGGAGACUAAGACUGAAGGAGAAGGAGAAAUCCCUUCAAAAUAAUGGUUUGAGGAAGACUUGUAUAAAACAUCUUAUAAUGACAAAUCUAAGGAGGCUUGAAGAAAGAGACUGAUAGUAUGGAGAGACUGAGACAGGAGCGGGAGAGACAGAGACUGGUAAGUGGAGAAGAUGAGGUUUGAAGACGACUUGUAUUGCACAACUUAAAUGUAAAAUCUGAGGAGGCUAAGACUGAAGGAGGAGAGACCCCUUCAAAAUAACAUUUUGAAGAUGACUUGUAUAACACAACUUCUAAUGAAAAACCAGGAGAUACGUUUCAUUAAAAGGUGUUAAGUACUGUAAA